AAUAUUGCACAAUGGAGGAAACUCUGAUGCAGCGACGCCGCGUGAGUGAAGAAGGCCUUCGGAUCGUAAAACUCUGUCCUUGGUGAAGAUAAUGACGGUAGCCAAGGAGGAAGCCCCGGCUAACUACGUGCCAGCAGCCGCGGUAAUACGUAGGGGGCGGGCGUUGUCCGGAUUUACUGGGCGUAAAGGGUGAGUAGGCGGUUAUGUAUGUCAGAUGUAAAAGGCACAGGCUUAACUUGUGUUAGCAUUUGAAACUGCAUAACUUGAGUGCAGGAGAGGUAAGUGGAAUUCCUAGUGUAGCGGUGAAAUGCGUAGAUAUUAGGAGGAACACCAGUGGCGAAGGCGACUUACUGGACUGUAACUGACGCUGAGUCACGAAAGCGUGGGUAGCAAACAGG
rnacentral:rRNA from 1 species